CUGGCGGCGUGCCUAAUACAUGCAAGUCGAGCGGACAGAUGGGAGCUUGCUCCCUGAAGUCAGCGGCGGACGGGUGAGUAACACGUGGGCAACCUGCCUGUAAGACUGGGAUAACUCCGGGAAACCGGGGCUAAUACCGGAUAAUUCUUUUCCUCUCAUGAGGAAAAGCUGAAAGAUGGCAUCUCGCUAUCACUUACAGAUGGGCCCGCGGCGCAUUAGCUAGUUGGUGAGGUAACGGCUCACCAAGGCCACGAUGCGUAGCCGACCUGAGAGGGUGAUCGGCCACACUGGGACUGAGACACGGCCCAGACUCCUACGGGAGGCAGCAGUAGGGAAUCUUCCGCAAUGGACGAAAGUCUGACGGAGCAACGCCGCGUGAGUGAUGAAGGUUUUCGGAUCGUAAAACUCUGUUGUCAGGGAAGAACAAGUACCGGAGUAACUGCCGGUACCUUGACGGUACCUGACCAGAAAGCCA
rnacentral:rRNA from 1 species